UGGCAAGUCUAGGCGGGGUGCUAGGGCUACCCUACAACGGCAAACGCUCUAUAGCCGGCCGAAGACCCAUGUGAGGUGACAAGACUAAUUCAAGCGCCCAACGGAAGCCGUCGAAGCGCCGUCCUAGAAGAUGUCUAAUCGCCGAGACCUUCGCCGGAGGGCAAGGUCAGAAAGCGUAGAGGCCAACUCGGUUAGGCACGGAAGUGAGCGGCCGUCCGCCUCGUUAGGCAUGCCUCUGGGGGUGCGGCGUGGAGGUAACCGUUGGUAGCGGGGUUUUAGUUGAGUCAUCGAGCAUGGGGACUUGCCA
rnacentral:SRP_RNA from 2 species